GGCAGGUUUUCUUCCUCUCUCAAGAGAGUUGAGCAGUUUGAAAAUAGGCUGCUUUCAGCCUUGCUUGAAAUCAGGAGUGGAAGAGAGAUACAGGGAUGCAGCGCGGAAGGAGGUUUGCUGUUCUCCUGGCCUGAGGGCUGAAUCGAUUCCACAGGGACCAGAGGCUUCUCAAAUUGUUUCCUGGUGCAUCCCCAUGGUGAAGGAAAAUGACAGAGGACUUCUGGAGGUCCAGGAAUAUAGAUCUACGCUGCCCACACAUACAGGAAAUUUAUUUGAAGUCUCAUGAUUUAGCGGAAAACUGAAAAACAUUGUGAAAUAAAUUUUGGAGCGUCAUUUUCCUGAAGAAAAUCUUAGAAAACAUGAUCAGGUUUGUAGGGGAGAAGAAAUAUUUUCUUACACAUCCAGAGUUUAUAGCUGAGAUAUCUGUAAUAAAAGGUUAAUCAGUGAAAAGCAUACAAAUUUAUUUAAUACAAGUUUUAUGUGACACAGGAACUUCCAGAAAUGAAAACCCAAAGACACAAGGAAACAGAUUUUUAUGCUAAAUUUGAUGAAGAAACGGACAGUUGUGAAGUAUUGGACAAAGGGGGUACGAUGUGAUGGUAACAAACUGGGGGAACUCAACGAGGUCUGUUUGCUGUGAUUACUCUCUAUGUCUUCAGAGACAAGGUUGUUCCUUUUUUCUGGGCAUUAGGAGGAUACUUCUGGAGUGAGGGUCUUAUCACCUGCUUUGGAGAAAAGUGAGGGGAAAAUGAGAGACUUUCCUCAUCUGCUGUUUUCUCAAAUACCAAGCUGCCAUACUUCGUUUGGGGUAGUGUGUCCUGAACCCUUCAGGAUCAUAUAAAUGGCAAAGAAAGGAUUUAAAGCACAUCUGUGUGUUCAAAAACACCAUAUUCUCCCCAGGAUCCUACACUGCCUAUAGCAUUGGGAGGCAGAGUUCAGAAACCCAGUUCACAUUCAUUUUACAAAGCAAUAAAUUGAGGAUCAGAGAAAUUAAUGUAACAUGCCACAUAUUAUAAGCCUUGUAUCGCACAUUUCCAUUAGUAUCUGAUGAGGCGUUAGGUGUGGUUUCUGAGGUAGUGUUGGAUCUUCCAGAGGGUGGGUUGGUGUUGACCUGCGUCACCUGAAGGUCUGCACUGGAGCGUCGUACAUGGGGUGGAGUCAGCUGUCCCUUGGACUCCUAAUUUAUUCUCUGGGCUUGAGGCAAAUCAGAGUCUCCUAGGCACAAUAGUGCUGGGGACCAGGCUGCUGCCAGGUGGAAUGUUCUGUUUGUUUUGGUCCAGAAUCAGCCUGUGGGCGAAUCCUUCCUGGAGAAGAUGAAGGUGCAGGUGGGGAGUGGCCAAGCACACCAUGUGGCAAUCCUGCCAGCUAGUGGCCGCAUAAGGAAUGGGCCUAAACCCACCCAGGAUGCUGCAGGCUGGGGACAAAAAUACUCAGGUUGACUUGAAGUCAGAGGGCACGGGCUUCCUCACCUUGCUCUAGGUCCCUCUGGUCACCUAGGGGAGGGGCUCGGGGAGACCUGAAGAGAUGAAAUGAUGUGUUCUAGGUAUUUUCAAAGUCAGAAUUAGAAUCUGGUCUCUUAACAUCCCAGCUCUUUUUAGUCAUUUAUUAAGAAUGGUAAGGAGGCUGGGUGCGGUGGCUCACGCCUGAAAUCCCAGCACUUUGGGAGGCUGAGGCAGACAGAUCACCUGAGAUCAGGAGUUCGAGACCAGCCUGGCCAAAAUGGUGAAACUGCAUCUCUACUAAAAAUACAAAAAUUAGCCAGGCAUGGUGGUGGGUGCCUGUAAUCCCAGCUACUAGGGAGGCUAAGACAGGAGAAUCACUUGAACCCGGGAGGCAGAGGUUGCAGUGAGCUGAGACUGCACCACUGCACUCCAGCCUGGCUGACAGAGCAAGACUUCAUCUAAAAAAUAAAAAUUAAAAAAUUAAAAGCCAUCAUGGAAGAAGUAGCAUUGACAGACAUUGAAGGACUAUUAAGAUUUCAAAAGGUGAGUGAUCUUACAAUAAAAAGCACCCAGGAAGGGUAAACUGCAUGAGAAAAAGUGUGAGAGCAAUUGGGGAAACGGAAUAAUCCAUUUUGGCCACAUAUUGUAAUUCUGGGAGCAAGGCAAAGAGAAUAAGACCUCUAGAAAGUCUACUCCAUUUAGCAGUAAGGAAUGACUGGGAUUCCAAAAAGCCCUGAUUCAAAUGAGUGAUGAGUAAUGUUCCCAGAGUACUUCCUCAUUCCAUGGGAUGUUAACAGGUAUUUGGCAGAAAAAUGAUUACGUGAUUAAAUAUGCUGGAAAAAAUCUUUAAUUAAAUUAACGUAGUUUAUUAUUUUACUUCUCUGGAUUUUUAGUUUGCAGAUGUGCAUUGCACUGUGGAAAAAAUUUUUGAACAUUGAUGUUUUAAGGAACCAGUGUUUUACAAAAUGGAAUUUUGAAAAUAUUCCACUAAACGUUUUGCUCUUACUUGGGUUUUACGUUUUCCUGAUGAAGGAGAUCUGAAUAUACUUAAAGGUAGAAAAGAAAGAUGCAGAAACAAAGGAGUGUGAAGAUCAAGAAGAAAGGAAAUACGGUGUUGACGGGACACACGUGUUGAAUGAGUUGGGAGGAAGUGAAUGUGAAAAUCUAUUGAUGUAGAACAGAGCAACAAGAAUACAAGUGUUGGAAACAGAUGCCUUGUGCCCCUAAGAAAAAUCAGCACUAUGACAGAGGAUCUCUCAGCAAGAAAGUUUUACUUCCGGGACUGCAGGAA